AGAGAGUUCAAGAGGACGUGAAACCACUGGUAGCGAAGCGGAUAGAGUUGAUUAAGCUGGUAGUAAUCAGUGCUGAGUGUGUUGCUGCUGCUGUGCGCGGGCUUCGUGGUAUGCGAGGUGGCGUUUGGCUGGCUGGCGCGGCUCGGUGUGCAUUUGCGAUCGGCUAACGCUGAGGCGCUUGUCUGCCCCUUCUGAAGCGUUGUGUGUUGCCCACCCUCGGGUGGUGUCUUGUGCAGCGCGGAGGUUGUUUGUGGCGGCUGAGUGUAAAGAGAGCAUCGCCUUUGCGCGCAUGCCUGCUAGCGUGCGUUUGGUAGUGGCGGUGACUUGUCACUUGUCGCUGCUAUAGCGUACGUGUUGUGGGUUUGUGCUUGCGUGCUCGUCUUCGGCGUGACCGUCAACCACCUAUCCGACCCGUCUUGAAACACGGACCAAGAAGUGUAGUAUUUGCGCGAGUCAUUGGGUGUUAAACCUAAAGGCGAAAUGAAAGUAAAGGUGGCUUUGCGUCACUGAUAUGUGAUCUGUGCGAUUUCGAUUGUGCAGCGCAACAUAGCCCCAUGCCGACUGCUUGCAGUGGUGUGGCGGUAGAGCGUAAAUACUGCGACCCGAAAGAUGGUGAACUAUGCCUGAGCAGGAUGAAGCCAGAGGAAACUCUGGUGGAAGUCCGAAGCGGUUCUGACGUGCAAAUCGAUCGUCUGACUUGGGUAUAGGGGCGAAAGACUAAUCGAACCAUC
rnacentral:rRNA from 1 species